rnacentral:rRNA from 1 species
CGAGUGAGCGGGAUGAGCUCAAAUUUAAAAUCUGGCUGGUUUACUAGUCCGAAUUGUAGUUUAUAGAAGCGUUUUCGGUGGCAGCCUGGGUAUAAAUCCUUUGGAAUAGGGUAUCAUAGAGGGUGAGAAUCCCGUCUUUGACUCAGUGCAUGCUACUAUGUGAUACGUUUUCAAAGAGUCGAGUUGUUUGGGAAUGCAGCUCAAAAUGGGUGGUAAAUUUCAUCUAAGGCUAAAUAUUGGCGAGAGACCGAUAGCGAACAAGUACCGUGAGGGAAAGAUGAAAAGAACUUUGAAAAGAGAGUUAAACAGUGCGUGAAAUUGUUGAAAGGGAAACGUUUGACACCAGUUAUGCGGGUGGAAAAUCAGUCUUUUGCAGUGGGGAGUUGUGGGCGUUCAGACCGCAAGGCUGGCGUUUGCUUCAUCUUUGUUGUAAGUGAUGCACUUUUUCAUUUGCAGGUCAACAUCAGUUUGCUUUGCUGGACAAAACCCCAAGGGAAGGUGGCAGCUUAGGCUGUGUUAUAGCCCUGGGGCGAUACAGUGGAGUGGACUGAGGUUUCGCAGUGUGUGCUCUCGGGCAAGGCUGACUGGGUGCUAUGGGAUCGUUCGGCGUACAAUGCAUGCAUUUUGCGUCGUGUCCUUUUCAUACUCGCUCAACUCGGCUCUUCCACACUUAGGAUGUUGACUUAAUGGUUUUAAACGACCCGUCUUGAAACACGGACCAAGGAGUCUAACAUAUAUGCAAGUGUUUGGGUGGCAAACCCAUGCGCGUAAUGAAAGUGAACGUA